GAGUUCGCGGGAGAGUAGGUUAUUGCCAGGGUUUUUAUUUUUAUACUUUAAACUUUGAUUUUAUUUUUAUGUUUUUUAAAUAUUGGUGUUUUUGAAUGUGUUGUUUAAAUAACAUAAAAAAUAAAAUAUAUAUUGACAUGUAUUAAACAAAGAUAUAUAUUAUUUUAUGUUGUAUAAAUAAAUUGGCAAAAUAGAGAUGGAAGAUAAAAAUAUGGUCAAAGUAAUAAAAGUCUAUGGUGAAUGCC
rnacentral:misc_RNA from 1 species